GCCGGCGUAGCUCAGCCUGGUAGAGCAUCUGUCUCGUAAGCAGAGGGUCACGCGUCCGAAUCGCGUCGCCGGCU
rnacentral:tRNA from 1 species